UUAUGCCCUGAAUCCAUUGUUGAGAUAUAAUCUGCACUUUCAACUACAACCUUCGCAUUCAUUCCCUUCUCUAUUUCCGAAGCCCUAAACACCAAAUUCCCUUUCUUUCCUUAAUGCAUACACACUCAUCGUUCUCACUGGCUCACCUUGAAUAAGUAUGCUUUUCUUUCUAUUGCACCCAAAAAGAAAAUGCGAGAAGAAGAAGAAAAAACAAAAGAGAACCCUUCCGACAAGUUAUUUGUAAGAAAUACUAGUGGGAAGUCAAAAUGCAGGCUUGCAAUGGAGCUGCAAUGAUGGGUUCUCUACAACAGCUUAUAUGGGUCAAAGGGAAUACAAUUUUUCCUUUAAAGAGUACAAUAUUAAGCCUAACUUGUUAGAAAAUAUGACAUCACAUAUUAUUAUUUAUUAUUAUGAUAGGUUAGCCUAAAUUAAAAGUGAUGUAAUUUAGUUAAGGUUUAUUGGGCUUUAAUUAUUAAAUAAAGUAUGAGUCAAAUAUGUGUAUAUACCUAGUAGCUAAUUUCAAAUUAAUGAUGGAUUGAUUAGGAAUUAGGGUUAAUGUGUCAAAGUUAUAUCCUAAAUUACACACAAUGUAACUUUUCUAAUAUCUCAUUAUGUGCUAAUUUUGAAUAUCAAAUCAUUGACAAUUUUU